GAUGAACGCUGGCGGCGUGCCUAAUACAUGCAAGUCGAGCGAACAGACAAGGAGCUUGCUCCUUUGACGUUAGCGGCGGACGGGUGAGUAACACGUGGAUAACCUACCUAUAAGACUGGGAUAACUUCGGGAAACCGGAGCUAAUACCGGAUAAUAUAUUGAACCGCAUGGUUCAAUAGUGAAAGACGGUUUUGCUGUCACUUAUAGAUGGAUCCGCGCCGCAUUAGCUAGUUGGUAAGGUAACGGCUUACCAAGGCAACGAUGCGUAGCCGACCUGAGAGGGUGAUCGGCCACACUGGAACUGAGACACGGUCCAGACUCCUACGGGAGGCAGCAGUAGGGAAUCUUCCGCAAUGGGCGAAAGCCUGACGGAGCAACGCCGCGUGAGUGAUGAAGGUCUUCGGAUCGUAAAACUCUGUUAUUAGGGAAGAACAAAUGUGUAAGUAACUAUGCACGUCUUGACGGUACCUAAUCAGAAAGCCACGGCUAACUACGUG
rnacentral:rRNA from 1 species